rnacentral:rRNA from 1 species
AACGAACGCUGGCGGCAGGCCUAACACAUGCAAGUCGAGCGAGGACUUCGGUUCUAGCGGCGGACGGGUGAGUAACGCGUGGGAAUGUGCCCUUCUCUACGGAAUAGCCCUGGGAAACUGGGAGUAAUACCGUAUACGCCCUAUUGGGGAAAGAUUUAUCGGAGAAGGAUCAGCCCGCGUUGGAUUAGGUAGUUGGUGGGGUAAUGGCCUACCAAGCCGACGAUCCAUAGCUGGUUUGAGAGGAUGAUCAGCCACACUGGGACUGAGACACGGCCCAGACUCCUACGGGAGGCAGCAGUGGGGAAUCUUAGACAAUGGGGGCAACCCUGAUCUUGCCAUGCCGCGUGAGUGAUGAAGGCCUUAGGGUUGUAAAGCUCUUUCAGCUGGGAAGAUAAUGACGGUACCAGCAGAAGAAGCCCCGGCUAACUCCGUG